AAACCCAGAGAGAAGACUAUAGGUGCAACAGUGGAUCUUUAAAAGCAUUUGAAUUAUUACCAUAAUUAUAAGAAAGAACUUUCCACAACAUGGUUUUCUGAGUAGCUCAUCCCUAGGGCCUGUAUAAAUACAUAUGUAUCUUCAUACCAAAUCUAUCUGUACACUGUAUAUCACUUACAUCAUCACCCUCUGACCCAAUUAUAUUCAGAAUUCAAAAGCAGGGAGCAUCAAAGUUUGCCUUAGUGAAGGAAAAGGGAAGACAUGCACACCAGUGACCAAAGGGAACAUUUCCUCCUGCUCGCAUGAGGUGUGCUUUGUCCACAAGGCCAUCCAAACAUCCACAUAGGCACCUUUCUUGUAUAUUUUCUUGCCCCAAGAAUAUAGAUUCACAGCCUUAGAGAAGUCGCCAGUCGUACCGCUAAUGUGGAUGUAGAGGCAAAGAAUACACGAUGGAAAAAAUUCGUGUUUUUUUCAUGGGGAAAAAACUUAGAGUACUGAUAACCUCUUUGCUUUUCUGGAGCAGGGUAUAAAAUAUCAAAAAUUCAAGAGCCCACCUCUUACUUUUUGAUCUAAAAUAAACAAGCUGUCCCCAAGUGGCUCCCUUUACCUGCAGUGAACCAAGCAGGUCUUGCUUGCUGUCACCUCCCCUGACACCCUAGGCAGGCUCAGGACAGAACAACUUGGCUCGCGCUGAGAAUACUCAAAAAGAACCUUCUCAGUUGCAUCUUGGAAUGCCCAUGCUGAGUCCAGCUGCCUUCUGAACCUGACUAGACCCUAAAGAACUGAGGCUGGAGAUGAGACGAUCUGCAGGCAGCUUCCCAAAUCUAAGCUGAGCCAGGCGGGGCAGAUGAAGAAAACACAGCCAUGCAGAGACUAAGGCAGAGGGAUGUUAUCAGUUUGGCCGAUGCAGCAGAAUUUCCUAAAGCCUUGCCCAGAAGAUUAUAAAAAGAGGCAGGGAACUGUUUCAUAUUCGGGGAAAAUGCUUUGUAAGGCUUCUAACAGGUGUCAGCCCCAGACCACCUUAACAGAAAGCUGGCCAGGGAUGUGACAGCAGCUAAAGCUGCUGGCCAGAAAGACAGCUGGAAAAGACGGGACUAAUAUUAACCACUCUGCUGAAAUCGCUAAUUGGCAUAUCUGACAUGGGUC
rnacentral:lncRNA from 1 species